rnacentral:rRNA from 1 species
UACGUAGGUGGCAAGCGUUGUCCGGAUUUACUGGGCGUAAAGAGCGCGCAGGCGGUCGUUCAAGUCGAGUGUGAAAGCCCCCGGCUCAACUGGGGAGGGUCACUCGAUACUGAUCGACUUGAAGGCAGGAGAGGGAAGCGGAAUUCCCGGUGUAGUGGUGAAAUGCGUAGAUAUCGGGAGGAACACCAGUGGCGAAGGCGACUUCCUGGCCUGUUCUUGACGCUGAGGCGCGAAAGCUGGGGGAGCAAACGGGG